CCCACCCCCAUGCGGCCACCUGUCUGGGUCCGAGCGGGGGCUGCACCUGCCGCGGGACAUUAGGGGCUUCCGGAGCGCUCGGGGCUGCGGGCCUAGGUUGUUAUUCUAAUCCUACAUCCCAGAGGACAGUUCAAGCAAAUAUGAUCCUGGUGAGGAGGAAACCGAGGCUCCAGGGCGACCCCAGCCCCUACUCGGUUGAUUCCAGCCAAUCGACAGGGAGAUGAUGAUUCUGGGUGGGCCUCCCCUAAUCAGCGUACGUGUCAGAGUUAAGAAGUCAGAGAGAUUUGAAGCAACACGGGCGCAGCCGGGCUGCCUCGAGGAAGCCAACUGCCUUGUGGAGAAAACCACUUGGCACGACUUGGCAGGCGGCCUCUGGGAGACUCUGGGAGACGGCAGCCUCCACGCUCCAACAACACUUCGCCUUGAGCGAAGUGGCUUAAACAGCAGAAAUUGAUCCUCUCACGGUUCUGGAGACCAGAAGUCUGAAAUCAAGGUGUGGGCAGGGUUGGUUCCUUCUGAGAGCUGUCUCCUGCCUCUCUCCCAGCUUCUGGUGGUUUGCUGACAAUCUCUGGGGUUGCUUGGCUGGAAGAUGCAUCGCUCCAACCUCUGCCUCCACCUUUGCAUGACCAUCUUCCCUCUGGGUACCUACGGCCAAGCCAGCGGUAGGCGUUCCAUGAGACGCUGCAAGAACUGAGUCCGGCAAACUGGAUGCUUGUUUCUGAACCCAGAGUCCAUCGAACACUGGCUUCCUUCUGGAUUUAAGCACUUCCCUCCACGUGAGAAACCCUCCCCACUGUGUCUUCCUUCCUUUCACUUUGACCCAGGUUCGGAGACUCCAUUAUUUAUUCCUGCAAGAAAAAUGCAUCGGGAUCUGGGUCGCCAGCACAUCUGAGUCACCCCGCCCUGUAGGUACCAUCGUUCCGAGGAGCUGUUGUUACGCUGGCCUUGCUCCGAGGUGGGGCUUCCGUGAGCGUUCGGCACCGCCACAGCGAGAGAGAGGAGGACGCCAUCCGGGACCCACAUGACAUUUCUUGUCCCGUCUCCUCGGGCUCCUCCGGGGCUGUGACGGCGUCUGGGACUUUCCUCGCUGGGAGGACCUCAACAUCUUUGAGGAGCGCCGGUCAGGCCAUUCGAAGGAUGCGCCUCUGCUGCGAUGUGUCCGAUGUGCGUCCCACGGUGAGACUGGGGUGGUGGGUUCGGGGCGGGACGACCACAGAGAUCAAGCGUGCAUCAAGGGUGCCGCCAACGUGACAUCGCUGUGAGGCCGACCCGCUCACCCGGCUGGGGCGUGUUCCCCACGUGUCUCCACAGCGAGGUUCCUCCUGACCCCCUCCGCGCGCGCUCUGCUGUUUGGAAGGAGGUCACGACGCGCAGCCCACACGCUGGGGUGGGGAGUGCUCUCUCUGCGUCUGCAGGAUUUGAACAGGAAGCUCGAGCUUGCUUUUUAGAAACGGGCUCAGGUGAGCAGAGAACGGUUCUCCUCGCACGUUAUCAGCCCUCCACACCCAGCCCCACAGCACACUAAGCGUGUCGGUAUCCCACAUUCCGUGCGGCCUGCCGGAGGAAGGCCUGUGUUUAGGAGGCUACUGCAAUAGUCCAAGCACAAGGGCUACAUUGGGACAACCACAGUGAGAAGGGAGAGCCCCUCACCCCUUGUCCUGCUACCCUGCCAUCUGGAAUUCCACAUUAGAGAUUCAUUCCUUUGGCAUUGAUAAAUAGUUCGUAAAGCGCUUUUUUUUUUUUUUAACAAAAAUGUUAGCGGAGUGGGGGGGGAGUCGCCCGGAUGGACGACCUUAGAAACGAGAAGUGGGGAGGGGAGCGGGCACUUCCUGAGGAAAAUCAGAUGUGCGCUGUGUGCUGUGCAUCCUCCCAGCCGCUUUUGGUUUUCGUUUCUGGAUUCAGAGAAAGAACCAGGUCUCGGGUCUCGCUUUCUCUGUGCGCCAUCCGGUCUUCCUUGCGGGGUACUCAAGCCGACAUCGCUAUGGCCGGAGGCGAGUCGGUCCCGUUCACUUUUUUAAAAAAACGGAGGCGGAAUUCACAUCGUAUACAAUUCACCCUUUGAAAACACACAGUCACUCUCCACCCGCCUCCCCCAGCCCCUGACCCCCGCUCCUCCCCUUUCCGUCUACGGAUUGGCCUGUUCUGGACAUUUCCUCUCCAUGGGGUCCUGCGCUGUGUGUCCUUUUGUGUCUGGCUUCUGUCUCUGAGCAUCGUGUGUUCAGGGUCCACCCACGUGGAGCUGUGUCCGGGCUUCCCUCCUGUUCAUGGCUGCGUAAUAUUCCCCUGCACGGAUGGACCACAUUCCAUUCAUCCAUCCGUCCACCGAUGGACACUUGGGUUGCUUCCACCUUUUUCCUACUGUGAAUAGGGCUGCCGGGGACAUCCUCGACCGCCCCCCCUUCCUCACGGUUUCAACAAAGAGCCAAAAACCCAAGGACACGUGCUUCUUCUGCCCGCUCCUGACGGUGCAGCGUUCCUUCCACACCAGGACCGAGUCUGCGGGGAAGUGAAACCGCACUCCUGGGCCCCCGGCGGCACCCUUGACCUUGUUUUUCUCGAGGUUUCGUCAGGGCCCAGCUCUGCAGGAAAACAGCGGCCCCCAGAUGGAGCGGGCGAGAUAGGAUGCUGUGGUCCUGGAGGGGAGGGUGUGUCGCUUCCUCUCCCCGCCGGCUUCUCGGUAACAACAGGGCUGCGCGGGGCGGGGUGUGGGGGAAAGGGGGCAACGGGGCCUGGAGAACGGCAUUCUGAGAAGCUCCCUCGGAACCCACACUGGGGCCUGGCAUCCUCGCCUCUCGGGGUCCCAUCUGCCCCAAAAGGGGGACCCCCAGACCCGUUAGCAGGACACGGGGUUCAGCGGGGGGAUGUGGGCAUCUCCAUCCCCCCCAUAUUCUUGGGGUACAUGCUGGACCCCCGGGUGCCGGGAUGGCCAGCAGACGGUCCACCUGCUGGACAGGCCCCGAGUGCACGGGCCUUGCUUGGAAUUUGGGGUGACCCCGGGGGCAGCUGACCCCGUAUGGCCACGCGGUCGUUUGCAGCUGGUUUUCAACAACCAGAGAAGCAUGGAAACCUGACUGCUCUCCUCCCGGGUUUGGGGGCUUGAGGACCCCGGGAUUUGGGAAGAUGAGGUCUUGAUCUCCUCCACCGCCGGCUUCUCCAUCACCACCAGCUCCCUCCCACAAAAGGCACCCGCUCUCUUAUUUCCCGAGUCCAGACCUUCUCCGAGGGCCCCAUACGUGGCAGGAGGGACCUCACAGAGUGAACCGUUUCUCGUCCUCCGCAUUUUCCCCCAUGGAACAUCCUCACCCCUCCGCGCUCAGGCUUUUGCUGCUCUGCGCAUGUCGGCAAACGACCGGAAAUCGCGCGAGUACUGAUUUGGGGGUUGCAAACGGGAUCUCGCGAGUCCGCGAAUUCGCAAAUACGGAAUCCGCGAACCCAAGAGGACGGACUACACAGGUUGGGAGGCCGCGAGUGAGUCCAUGAAGGGUAGCGUGGUCGGGUGGGGGGUGCGCCAGAUUCUGACCGGAGCGGAGAGAGGCGGAGAGGGGUCCGCCUGCGUCAGGGGCCAACGAAGCAGCGUUGGCGAGGACGUGAGGAAAUCAGACCUCUCCUCCAGGGUGAGUGGGAAUGGAAAACGGGGCAGCCGCUUUGGGGAAACAAUUUGUUGGGAAAACAAUUUGGCGGUUCCUCAAAAAGUUAAAUAUAGGGUUACCCCAUGACCAGGCAAUUUCACUUCUGGGUAUAUGCCCAGAGUUGAAAAAAAAGAUAUUCCAACCAAAAACUCACGCAAGCAUAUUCAGGGCAGUUUUUAGGAUGGCACAAAGUAGAAACAGCCCAAGUGUCCACGGAUGGACGGAUGGAUGAACAGAUGUCCGCCCAUCGGCUGUCGCCCAGGCCAGCCCCGACUUCCGGAUCCGGGGCCCAGCAUCCCAGGCCCCCGUGGCUCCAGAGUCCUCGCCCCCCCCACGUCCAGGACCGAGGAGGAUGGAGACCCAGCUACCCAGGGUCUGUGUCCGCCUCUGUCCUCACGGGGCUGCUCCUCUGCGUCUGCGUCUCCUCUUCUGUCUCUGAUGAGGACGCUGUCACUGGAUUCAGGGCCGCCUCCUCCAGGAAGCCCUCCUGUCCAUCUUUGGAUUCAGGGCCGCCUGCUCCAGGAAGCCCUCCUCUCCAUCCUUGAUUUAGGGCCGCCUCCUCCAGGAAGCCCUCCUCUCCAUCCUUGAUUCAGGGCCGCCUCCUCCAGGAAGCCCUCCUCUCCAUCCUUCCCUGCAUCACACCUGCAAAGACCCUGCUUCUAAAUAAGGUCCCGUGCAAGGGUCCUGGGGUCAGGACGUGGGUGCAUCUCAUGGGACCCCCCCCCUCAGCUGCCACCACGUUUCCUUGAGAAAUGAUGUUUUCCAGAAGCAAAGCGCAGGGCAUCCUACUGGCCCAGGGGGCACGGCAUGGGAACAGAGACCCGUCUGUCUCAAGCACGAGUGGUCAGCUGCACAGAGGAGGCUGCAAUCGGGGACGGACGGCCGUGUGGUGUGUCCCGGAGGCGGCCAGAGAGCUGUGACCACAGCCACGGUCAAUCAAAUGCACCGAAGAAGCCGACGCAUUCGGGACAGUCAGUCCCCUCUGUCUGGCGUCCGUCCCCGGCUGACCGCUCUGCCUCCACCCAGCCCCACUCGGCUCUGAUGGACACUGUCUGUCCCGACCGUCAUGGACAUUGCUGUGUGGCCCCGUUCUGACCAGCAUGACGGAAGACAAAGUCGGCCGGAGGGAUGCUCAGAAAAAGUGCUGCUUCCCCGCUAAGAGGGCCAGACUCAGAGGAGGAGGAGCUGACAGGGCCCCUUUCCUUCAACGGCCCUACACACAGACGUGAUGCCUGGUGCCGUGGCAGCCACUUUGGGCUCUGAGGCAGCAAAGGUGCAGAUGGUAACAUACUAAGAAGGGAGGUGGAGAAAAAUAAAAAGACACGGGGUCCUUGAUGACACCCUGGAGCUGUCACGCCCACCCUGGAGGGCUCAUCUCUGAAUUUCUUGUUAAGUCAAGAAAAAAAAAAAAAUCUCCCGGUUGAGGCCACUGGUUUUCAUUACCAGACGCCAAAAGCCUUCUUAGUGAGACGCUGAUUGUGUAAAGCGACAUUUUCUGCAGCUCUCUCGGAGUCCUGCCUCUGGAUACGAAGACCCCUCCCAAUGGCCCAGAAGAAGGGGUCCUUCUGCCUCCAUUUGGGAUCUGGGACCCAGGACGCACGCGAGCACAGCUUGUCCCCCAUCGCUCUCCGGGCCGCAUGUCCCUCCUCCUUCAUCCACGGGGCGGCUUUCUCUCCCACGAGCACCCCUGCUUCUGCGGGUUUGCGUGCCGGGGAUGCACUUACGUAAAUUGUCCGGGCUGUCGGCAUCUAAGCGGAGCCACGGGGCAAAUUUGACGGCCCCAUAAAGGACGUGCAAAGGCCCGCUGGUGUUCGGGGCUGUUGGGAUGGUGGGAUUCUCCGGGAGAAGGGAAUGGAUGAGGUCAGAAGGAACAGGGCUGGGGGUCCAGAGGCGGCUCUGGCGGCGUGCAGCCCGGGUCCCCAGGGCUGGUUUUGGGGCUGGAGCUUGUAUUUCAGCUCAGGGCCCUGCAGAGGUCGCUCAGUCACUCAGCAUCAGGCCCCUGGGCUCCCCAAGGGGUGCAAGGCCAUCCCGUUCCCUGUCCCCUCCUUACAGCCGGCCCCAAAUAAGCCAAACGGGGGCCCCAAGUUGGCCACCCCGGGGUGCAGCCUGUGCCCGGGGUCCUCGCCGCUCCAACGGGACAUCCAGCACGUGCGUGGGGCCAACAGAGCGGGAAUCGGGCAAUGCAGCCCUCGCAUCGCUUUUUUAAAUAAAGUUUUAUUGAAACACGGUCACGUCCAUUCGGUCAAAUAGCGCCUCUGGUCGCUUCUGUUCAGACCGUCCGGCCCCAGGCCAAGAGGGAGUCGCCCCAUCCUUUUAAACUCCCUUGACGCCUGGUGUGGACGUGUUUUCUCCACGGCAGCUCCAACCUGUCCCCCUUCGGAGGGGACGGGACGGUCGACCCGGGGAAAUCCCAGCUGGUCUGUUGAGAGACGGGACCCGUGAGCUCAGGAGGGUGCCUUGCUCAGCAUCCUGGAUCUCGUAGGCACAGCCUCCCGUCUCCCGGACCAAACUGUGUCUCCCCCCAAAUUCACAGGUCGGGGUCCUGACGAACCCAGCACCUUGGAGGAUGAAGGGGGUUGUGAGGCGCUGGAUUGCACGCAGGGCCUGCCGGUCUGUGGGUUCGGCUUGUGCAGCGCGCUCAGUGUGCUCAGAACGUAGGUAACCCCGGAGUCCUCCUGGAAGAGCCGUCCGGCAUUCGCUCAGUCACCCUCCGGGCCGCGUUAGGCAGCACAACCACAGGGAAUCACGAGGAUCGACUGUCCUUCUGGCAGCUUCCGCCCUCCUUUCCUACAGCUUACGUUCCUGUGAACGCAUUUCAACACUUGUGCCCGUGUGCGACUCGGUCCACAUUGCUCCCUGCCUGCCCUCCAGCCUGACCCCGCACCGGCCGGUGUGGACUCCAACCGGUCCUCUCAGGAUGCACAGCAGGUGAGCCCGAAGCCACCCCCGGUCCCCCACAGUUCCCGGGGCUGGGUCAUCCCUGCCUGUCACCUGGCUGCAUACCAAAAGAGGUCGCAAGGUGCACAGCUUCAGGAUGCAAAAGGAAAUAUGUUCUGUUAGCUUUUUUUUUUUUUUAAUUAAACAAAACCAGGAAUCUGUUCUGUCUGG